UACGGAGGGUGCAAGCGUUAUCCGGAUUCACUGGGUUUAAAGGGUGCGUAGGCGGAUUGGUAAGUCCGUGGUGAAAUCUCUAAGCUUAACUUGGAAACUGCCAUGGAUACUAUUAGUCUUGAAUAUUGUGGAGGUUAGCGGAAUAUGUCAUGUAGCGGUGAAAUGCUUAGAUAUGACAUAGAACACCAAUUGCGAAGGCAGCUGGCUACACGAAUAUUGACACUGAUGCACGAAAGCGUGGGGAUCAAACAGG
rnacentral:rRNA from 1 species